rnacentral:rRNA from 1 species
CCUGCUUUUGUGGGGUGCUCGAGUGGCGAACGGGUGAGUAACACGUGAGUAACCUGCCCUUGACUUUGGGAUAACUUCAGGAAACUGGGGCUAAUACCGGAUAGGAGCUCCUGCUGCAUGGUGGGGGUUGGAAAGUUUCGGCGGUUGGGGAUGGACUCGCGGCUUAUCAGCUUGUUGGUGGGGUAGUGGCUUACCAAGGCUUUGACGGGUAGCCGGCCUGAGAGGGUGACCGGCCACAUUGGGACUGAGAUACGGCCCAGACUCCUACGGGAGGCAGCAGUGGGGAAUAUUGCACAAUGGGCGGAAGCCUGAUGCAGCAACGCCGCGUGCGGGAUGACGGCCUUCGGGUUGUAAACCGCUUUCGCCUGUGACGAAGCGUGAGUGACGGUAAUGGGUAAAGAAGCACCGGCUAACUAC